rnacentral:rRNA from 1 species
UCCGUGGCUACGAGGACGACGCUGGCGGCGCGCCUAACACAUGCAAGUUGAACGGAGCUUAGAGAGCUUGCUUUUUAAGCUUAGUGGCGAACGGGUGAGUAACGCGUGAGUAACCUGCCCUAGAGUGGGGGACAACAGUUGGAAACGACUGCUAAUACCGCAUAAGCCCACGGUACCGCAUGGUACUGAGGGAAAAGGAUUUAUUCGCUUUAGGAUGGACUCGCGUCCAAUUAGCUAGUUGGUGAGGUAACGGCCCACCAAGGCGACGAUUGGUAGCCGGACUGAGAGGUUGAACGGCCACAUUGGGACUGAGACACGGCCCAGACUCCUACGGGAGGCAGCAGUGGGGGAUAUUGCACAAUGGGGGAAACCCUGAUGCAGCGACGCCGCGUGGAGGAAGAAGGUUUUCGGAUUGUAAACUCCUGUCGUUAGGGACGAUAAUGACGGUACCUAACAAGAAAGCACCGACUAACUACGUG